rnacentral:lncRNA from 1 species
UCACCUGUAGUAGAAGGAGUCAACGUAUCCUUAAGGGAAGAUAGAGUUUGUCUGUGUUUUAGGAUGCUCAUGCAAGAAAGGAAGUCCUAGACGAAGGAAUCGUGCUACCUUAAUUGACAUGCAAACGAGAGACUACGCGGAGUCUAGCAAUCCUAUGGGGAUACAACAAGCAAGUCUCAAAAGAGAACAACGAAACCGGAAAUGGAAUGCCAAUCGCUGGGCUUACA